GAUGAACGCUGGCGGCGUGCCUAAUACAUGCAAGUCGAGCGAACGGACGAGAAGCUUGCUUCUCUGAUGUUAGCGGCGGACGGGUGAGUAACACGUGGAUAACCUACCUAUAAGACUGGGAUAACUUCGGGAAACCGGAGCUAAUACCGGAUAAUAUUUUGAACCGCAUGGUUCAAAAGUGAAAGACGGUCUUGCUGUCACUUAUAGAUGGAUCCGCGCUGCAUUAGCUAGUUGGUAAGGUAACGGCUUACCAAGGCAACGAUGCAUAGCCGACCUGAGAGGGUGAUCGGCCACACUGGAACUGAGACACGGUCCAGACUCCUACGGGAGGCAGCAGUAGGGAAUCUUCCGCAAUGGGCGAAAGCCUGACGGAGCAACGCCGCGUGAGUGAUGAAGGUCUUCGGAUCGUAAAACUCUGUUAUUAGGGAAGAACAUAUGUGUAAGUAACUGUGCACAUCUGGACGGUACCUAAUCAGAAAGCCACGGCUAACUACGUG
rnacentral:rRNA from 1 species